rnacentral:rRNA from 1 species
CGCUGGCGGCGUGCUUAACACAUGCAAGUCGAACCUUUAGGCCCUGCUUUUGUGGGGUGCUCGAGUGGCGAACGGGUGUGUAACACGUGAGUAACCUGCCCUUGACUUUGGGAUAACUUCAGGAAACUGGGGCUAAUACCGGAUAGGAGCUCCUGCUGCAUGGUGGGGGUUGGAAAGUUUCGGCGGUUGGGGAUGGACUCGCGGCUUAUCAGCUUGUUGGUGGGGUAGUGGCUUACCAAGGCUUUGACGGGUAGCCGGCCUGAGAGGGUGACCGGCCACAUUGGGACUGAGAUACGGCCCAGACUCCUACGGGAGGCAGCAGUGGGGAAUAUUGCACAAUGGGCGGAAGCCUGAUGCAGCAACGCCGCGUGCGGGAUGACGGCCUUCGGGUUGUAAACCGCUUUCGCCUGUGACGAAGCGUGAGUGACGGUAAUGGGUAAAGAAGCACCGGCUAACUACGUGCCAGCAGCCGCGGUGAUACGUAGGGUGCGAGCGUUGUCCGGAUUUAUUGGGCGUAAAGGGCUCGUAGGUGGUUGAUCGCGUCGGAAGUGUAAUCUUGGGGCUUAACCCUGAGCGUGCUUUCGAUACGGGUUGACUUGAGGAAGGUAGGGGAGAAUGGAAUUCCUGGUGGAGCGGUGGAAUGCGCAGAUAUCAGGAGGAACACCAGUGGCGAAGGCGGUUCUCUGGGCCUUUCCUGACGCUGAGGAGCGAAAGCGUGGGGAGCGAACAGGCUUAGAUACCCUGGUAGUCCACGCUGUAAACGGUGGGUACUAGGUGUGGGGUCCAUUCCACGGGUUCCGUGCCGUAGCUAACGCUUUAAGUACCCCGCCUGGGGAGUACGGCCGCAAGGCUAAAACUCAAAGGAAUUGACGGGGCCCCGCACAAGCGGCGGAGCAUGCGGAUUAAUUCGAUGCAACGCGUAGAACCUUACCUGGGUUUGACAUGGAUCGGGAGUGCUCAGAGAUGGGUGUGCCUCUUUUGGGGUCGGUUCACAGGUGGUGCAUGGCUGUCGUCAGCUCGUGUCGUGAGAUGUUGGGUUAAGUCCCGCAACGAGCGCAACCCUUGUUCACUGUUGCCAGCACGUUAUGGUGGGGACUCAGUGGAGACCGCCGGGGUCAACUCGGAGGAAGGUGGGGAUGACGUCAAGUCAUCAUGCCCCUUAUGUCCAGGGCUUCACGCAUGCUACAAUGGCUGGUACAGAGAGUGGCGAGCCUGUGAGGGUGAGCGAAUCUCGGAAAGCCGGUCUCAGUUCGGAUUGGGGUCUGCAACUCGACCUCAUGAAGUCGGAGUCGCUAGUAAUCGCAGAUCAGCAACGCUGCGGUGAAUACGUUCCCGGGGCUUGUACACACCGCCCGUCAAGUCAUGAAAGUUGGUAACACCCGAAGCCGGUGGCCUAACCGUUGUGGGGGAGCCGUCGAAGGUGGGACUGGUGA